rnacentral:rRNA from 1 species
AUUGAACGCUGGCGGCAGGCCUAACAAAUGCAAGUCGAACGAGUGGCGGACGGGUGAGAAACGUCGGGGAAACUGCCUGAAGGAGGGGGCAAACUACUGGAAACGGUAGCUAAUACCGCAUACCAUCAGCUGAGCCCAGAGGGGAAUAGAUUGUUGGUGGGGUAAAGGCUCACCAAGUCAAAGAUCCCUAGCUGGCCUGAGAGGAUGACCAGCCACACUGGAACGCAGUCACGGUCCAGACUCCUACGGGAGGCAUCAGUGGUGAAUCUUGCGCAAUGGGCGCAAGCCUGAUGCAGCCAUGCCGCGUGUAUGAAGAAGGCCUUCGGGUUGUAAAGUACUUUCAGCUGGGAGGCGUUACCCUAAGAAGAAGCACCGGCUAACUCCGUGCCAGCAGCCGCGGUAAUUC